UUUGCUUUUUGAUUCCAAUACUAGCCUCAUAGUUUGGGUAGAGUAGAGUAGUGUUAAAUAGAAACUAGAAAGCCUAACAACAGUAAGAAAAUAUUAGCCAUUUCAUUUCAAGUGAAUGACAGCAAUAUAGUAAUGUAUUUUACAGUUUUGUGAUAAAUGUAUACGAAAAUUCUGUGCUUGACAAGUUUUCCGAUUGACACUGUUUCUUGUCUGUGUAUGGUUUACUAGUCAUGUUGCUUUCUCCAUGUAACUCUCUUUUGUACAUUGUCACAGGCGCAAAAGGAGCAUGAUUUAGUUUCAUUGCAUGCCCAAUUCCAUCAUCAUCCUGUUUUAGCUACAAAGAACCUAGUUGAAGAAAAAUUCCAAGAUGGUGGUAUGGACAAUGAUUACCCACAAAAUGUUUAAUAUGGGGAAUUGAAGAAGCUUGAUUGUUUUGGAUGGUGGAUGGAUAAGGAGAUAGGUGGAGAUUGUAACAAUUCCUUGAUGGCUUCAGUUUCUGGCAAUUACUGGAAAUCACUUGAUGCUAAUAAUGAGGAUAAGGAGGUAUCUAGUUUACGAGGCAUGCACUUGGAUAUGGACUCAUUAAGUCCCAAGAACAACUGUUUAGUAUCAUUGACUUUGCUCUGGGCAUAUGCUGGGGUUAGAACAAAGAGAGGAAACUGUAAUUGCACUAGUCAAAUUAGGUGCAGUCCCAGGUCUUGUUGAUGACCCAAAAUCAGCCUUUCCUCGAGGGAAAACAGCAGCUGAUUUAGAUUCAAGUAGAGGAUAUAAAGGUAUUGCUGGAUACCUGGCUGAGGCAGAUCUUGUAAAUCAAUUGUCUAGAUUAACUGUUAAUGAAAAUGAGAAGGACAACAUUGCCACAAACUUAGCAACUGACAAUGCAUUUGAAUCUGCUGAUACUGAUUCAUCAAAGAUGACAAUGGAUGAGCAGUGCUAUCUAAGAGAGUCGCUCGCUGCUUUUCAAAAAUCAGCUUAUGCUGCUGCUUCAAUCUAAGCAGCCUUUAGAGCAAGAUCAUUCUGUCAAAGACAACUAGCCAAGAAUAGCAGUGAUAUUUCUGAAGAUGCACUUGACCAAGUUGCUGAUUCUUUGAACAAGGUUCAGAAGAUGGGUCAUUUUGAGGAUUAUCUGCAUUCUGCAGCUUUAAAGAUUCAAAAGAGAUACCGCGGGUGGAAGGGAAGAAAAGAUUUUUCGAGAAUAUGCAACCGCAUUGUAAAAGUUCAGGCUCAUGUUAGAGGUCACCAAGUUCGAAAGCAGUACAAAAUAGUUGUUUGGUCUGAUGGUUUGCUCAUUAUUUUGGCAUACUCGGAACAGACUGGUGAUGGUGGUAGCAGUCAACCACAGCCUGUUGAGUAGUAUUUGACAGGAAUGGCGAAGAGUAACAGUGACUUACUUUGGAUGAUAGUUAGUAAAACUGUAAAAUAAGUAACAUCUAACAUAGUUUUAUUAUGGAAAUUCUGUAAAUUAGAAAGAUAAAAGAUAAUUCAGGAAAGCAAGGGGAAAUGUAUAUACAAUACAGAUGUCCUUUUUGUUCCCCGUUUUAGGCAUGUAGAAGACAGUUCUAUUUGCAAUAUAAUUGACUUAAUGUUCAACUACAAGGAGAAAGACAAUUAUUAGGGAAAAAUCCUUUUAACUUGUUUGUAAACCUUUCUCAUUAUUUUUAUAG